rnacentral:rRNA from 1 species
CAAGAUGAGAUUUCCCAACAUGUAAGACCCCUUGAAGACGACGAGGUAGAUAGGUUGGAGGUGGAAGCACGGCAACGUGUGGAGCUGACCAAUACUAAUCGGUCGAGGGCUUAUCCAAAUUCACCCCA